UACGUAGGGGGGCUAGCGUUUGUCCGGAAUCAUUGGGCGUAAAGAGCGCGUAGGCGGCUAGAUAAGUCCGGUGUGAAAGUCACAGGCUCAACCUGUGAAUGCCGCUGGAAACUGUCUGGCUAGAGUCCGGAAGGGGCGAGUGGAAUUCCUGGUGUAGCGGUGAAAUGCGCAGAUAUCAGGAGGAACACCAAUGGCGAAGGCAGCUCGCUGGGACGGUACUGACGCUGAGGCGCGAAAGCGUGGGGAGCAAACAGG
rnacentral:rRNA from 1 species